CAGGUCACCAUGUGGUGGACUCUGAAGCUUCAGUGUUUAUCCAGCUCUGCAUGGGUCUGUAAACCUUUCUGUGUUCUAACCUCUCUCCAUUUUUCAAAAGCAUCUCCAAUAUUGAUCCUAGUUUGAGCACGUUUCUGCUCGUGGAGCUUAUUAGAAACAUGCAGAGGCUUUUUAGGUCGGGUACAAUCACUUCUAUCUGAACCACUUCUCUUGCCCGCUUCCAUCACUGCAACACCUGUUGACCUGAUAACUGCUCUCAUAUCUGGAAAACUGAGGGGCGUCCAAAACGGGGGCCGUGUGAAGGGGUGUCUUAAAAGCGCCUACCUUCUCUGGUCCAAACAAAUCCAGAGCAUUCAGGAGCAGAAUCUAAAGUUAGAAGGAGGACAUACUGGCUGCUGCAUUGUUGUCAGAGAAGCCAGCACUUCAACAUAGCAUGUUUCCUUAAUGUCUGAUGGCAUAGUAACUUACACUAGUCAAAUUCACUGGACUUUGGGGAAAUAUAUUUCCUGGUCUCAGCCCAUGUCUCCCCUCCCUCCCGGCUGCCCUCUGUAGGAUAAUCCCCUCUUGAGUGUGCGGGACAGUGAACUCAGCGGGAGCUGGAGAAAGAGCCGUUCCAUAUCUCCUCCUCCAGCAACGCCUCUCCCCCUAACGAGGAGAGCUACUGCCUAAUGAGGGAGCUCA